ensembl:lincRNA
UGUCAUUUUUAAUGUUCUUUCUCAUUGAUUUGCAUAAACAUCUGUAUUUUUCCGAUAUAAGUCAGAAUUUUGAAAUAUACAGGUUAAGCUUUUAAAAAAUGUAAGUACUCAUUUUAAACUACAAAACCUACUGAACUAGAUAUGUAUACAAGAUCUCUUCUCUCUCUCUCUCUCUCUCUCUCUCUCUCUCCCUCCCUCCCUCUCGGUAACACUGGGAAUUGAAUCCAGGACCUUUGCACUGACCCACAUCUGCAACAUUUUUUGUGACAGGGUUCUUGAUAAGUUGCUAAGUUGUCUGUGUUGGUCUUGAACUUGCCAUCACCUUGCCUUGGGCACCUAGAGCACUGAACAAGGAUUCUUAAAGGCAGGAUGGCUCAUUUAUUCUUUUUGGUUUUUUUGUGAAAGGGUCUCACUAUGUAGUUGAGGCUGACCUGGAACUGGCUAUGUCGCCCAGGCUGGUCUUGAACUCACAGCGAUCCUCCUGCCUCAGUCUCCCGAGUGCUGGGAUUACAGGUGUGCACCACCACGCCCGGCUCAGCUUAUUUAUUCUUAUUGUCGUUUUUCAUAUAUGUAUGAAUAUCUACUUAUUUGUAUGGUUACAAAUACACUUCUAGCAAUAUGUAUUGUUUGACAGGGAGCUUAUAGAUCAUGCCUUUAAGAAGACUGCAGUUCAGAAAAGCAGAACAAUGUACACACAGUGGCUGUAAUAUGGGUUGAAUGUGUAAUUUCAUCGACUCUAAGAUGCACGUUUUGUCUUCCGGUCCACAGUGUUGUAGAUGUGCUCAAUUCCACAGGCUCUGGCAGUUGGGGAGGAGAGAUUCUUUUACCCCGGACACAAGAGUGCGAAAGGGGCGGAGGCUCAGGGAAGGCUUACGCUGUGGCACCGGCAGAGUUGUACGGAAGGCAGAGGGCACAGAGCAUCUUAAGGGAGAACAUAGCGGAAGAAGAUCUAGAGAUAGGUUCUUGAACAAUCCAGAAGCAGAAGAGAAUUAGUGUUCCAGAAAAUGUUGAUGCCAGCAGAAGCCAGGAGGCCACAGUAAUAACUCAGCCUGCGCUGCCUCAGCCCUUCCCAGGUGGGUGGCUCUGAAGAGAUGAACUGCAAAAACAAACAAACGAACAAACAGACAAACAAAAAACAAUGGGCAGGAUGAGAGGACUUACUCCUGCCACCCUAGGAAGGAAAGACAGCCAAGAAGUCCAGUUUUGGUAGCGUCACAUGACGGAGUCCUCAAAGACCUACCUGUGCCCUUGGGGUUUUAGGAACCGGCCUGGCUUGCUGUUGCAGUGUUUUUCUUUGCAGGAACAACCCUGUUUGGCUUCAUUUUGAGGAGAAAUGUGCUCUUCUGGUCACAUUCUCCUUUUAGGGUUUGGGAUUUGAAAUAACUUACACUGUGGGCCUAAGAUACAGGUUCUGGUUUUUGUUUGUUUGUUUGUAAGUAAGGGAAAGUUUAAGUAAGCAGGAGAACAAGAAGUAAAGUUUUGCUCCUGUACCCCUUGCUUUCCCUUUGAGGGUAUCUGAGGAUAUCACCCCUUGCCACAAGGCUCUUUCUUUGCCCGGCUCCCUGCAGUGCUGACUGGGGAGUGGGGUGAUGCUCACUUCUAGUUGCUGUUCUUCAUUGUCUCCACAGAGGUUUGCAGUGUGUGUGCGUGUGUGUGCUUUGCUUCUGGGAACAGGGAACAGGGCAAGGGAAGAACAGAUGGGCCCCCUGAGCUUCUCCUUGGCCUGCAGAAUGAGAGGCGGAGAAAAUCGUAAUAAAAAACGGAAACAGCUGUGUCAGGGACCACAGCAGCUUGUGGGGUGGGCCUGAGCCUGAGGGGGUUGCAGGCUGUCACGAUUCUGCUCCUGGGCUGGGUAGGUUUCACCAAAAGCGGUGUCCUGUGUGUAAAUGCUACCCGCUCGGCACAUCACGGGCCGCCUUCCUCACCUCUUCCCUCCCCACGUCUGACUGGAUAACGGAGCUGGAGUAAUCCUUUAAUACACCGGAGAAGAAGACUGACAGAUGGAUCCUGCAAUGCUGCUGGCGUUUGUCUGUGCAGUGGGGGCUGUUCUUUCUUCUGCCACAUGCAAAUCCCCCCCAACU